rnacentral:rRNA from 1 species
AUACGCAUACUAAGCGAGUGACGGUACCUGCAGAAGAAGCGCCGGCUAACUACGUGCCAGCAGCCGCGGUAAUACGUAGGGCGCAAGCGUUGUCCGGAAUUAUUGGGCGUAAAGAGCUCGUAGGCGGCUUGUCGCGUCGGAUGUGAAAGCCCGGGGCUUAACCCCGGGUCUGCAUUCGAUACGGGCAGGCUAGAGUGUGGUAGGGGAGAUCGGAAUUCCUGGUGUAGCGGUGAAAUGCGCAGAUAUCAGGAGGAACACCGGUGGCGAAGGCGGAUCUCUGGGCCAUUACUGACGCUGAGGAGCGAAAGCGUGGGGAGCGAACAGGAUUAGAUACCCUGGUAGUCCACGCCGUAAACGUUGGGAACUAGGUGUUGGCGACAUUCCACGUCGUCGGUGCCGCAGCUAACGCAUUAAGUUCCCCGCCUGGGGAGUACGGCCGCAAGGCUAAAACUCAAAGA